rnacentral:sRNA from 1 species
AGAGCCACUUUUAAAAUAUUUCAAUCAAAUUGCUUUACCUGACGCGAAAAUACACCUUGAUACAUUUCCUUUAAUUGAUAUGCUCCCUGAGAACUUCAGGAAGCUAGAUUUCUACCGGUACUACGGAAGUUUGACCACACCGCCCUGCUACGAAACAGUCAUCUGGUCACUAGCUACAGAAUAUAUCAAGAUAUCGGAGAGCCAGUUGAAUGUCUUCAGAGGUCUAUAUGAAUCAAAGGACAUCCACCUCGUCAAUGACUUCAGACCUGUACAACCCUUGAACAAGCGCAUUGUCGUCACGACCAAAAACUCCUCCAAAAACUCUUCAGCGCAGCCAAGCACACGUCCUCACUUCCUAUGUUUGAGUCUAGUGCUAGUAGCCUGGGCGUAUUGUAGAAUGCCUUAAAUUGAUUCAUGAUUUUAAAAAAAUAGGAUAAUAAUUUUAAUAAGAUUUAUGCACAAGAGGCAUUCCUGUCUAAUUAUAAGAUAGAAUAAGAAUCAGUUCUUGUCUUACUAUAUUGCACGCCAUUUGUAAAACAAAAUUGUUAGACUUUAAAAUAAUUAUUGAGUGGGAGCGAUAACUCGCUGUACAGGUAGCCUCAUGUCCAGUCAAACAUGUGUGAAUUCCAAAUAAUCUUCAACUGUUAAUAAACUUUAUCUUUUUAACAAAACGUUAAUCCUAUCAACAGGAGCGUAAGAUCGGUGCAAUACAACAAGGCCGGACAUAGGUAAUUGGAGGCCCUAAGCGAAACGAAUAUUGAGGCCCCCUAAUGAAAUAGAUAAGCAAAAAAUUAAGACAUUAAAAUACGCAAUGAAUUAUAACCGUCCUGUAUCUAUAUCUAAAUCUACAAAUAAGUUAAAUUCAUAGAGCGCCGGUUCAUGAUUCAUUGACGAUUCAUGAUCACCAGACUAGAAAUAACGUUUCGACAUUUCACCACAAGGAAGAAACAAUGGUCUUCUAGCGUAUGUAGUCUAAAUAGUAGAUCUAAACAUUCGGGAAAAAGAAUCUUGAAGGACAUGGUCAGCAUUCUCUGGAGAUACUCCACAAGGUCAAGACUCGCUAGUCCCGACUUUAAGCUUCUGGAACAUAUGAUUCUGUUGUGUCCGGUUCUGAGUCGAACAAAUAUGCGUUGGUCAUGUCGGUUAAACUUAUAAUAGGCGUCCUUUACCUUGUGAGCUGGACCAGUAAUCCUUUAUUCUACUCUCCAUCAUAUACUCGUGAGUGUAAGGGUGUGCGGUGGAGAAAGUAAAAGUAUCUGGGUCAUUUUGUGAGUGUGUUUGUCUAAAACGCUAAUGCAAUGUGUGGAAGUUAACACAUUAGUUUCAAAAUUAAGCAGCAUUUUCGUGAGCAGCUGAUUGGUCUUAUCAGCGUACAGUCAUAAUGUGUACAUGAUAACUAACUGUGUGUCUUCUUACUAAUUCUGAUAUGUACAAUGAAAUCCAUAGAAAUCCAUAUCUACGUGUCAAAUGUUAUAUACUUGGUCAAUGUAUUUUUAUAUAAUAAACCAUUCAAUAAUCUAA